UUCAAUUCCCUCACAAUGGUAAACACUUAGACCUGGAACUUGAUUGAAUUGUUACUUCAAACUGGAAGGAAUGGGUAUAAAAUUUUAAUAUUUUAAACAGAUUCUUUUCUUCCUUCUUGCCCUUGUUCUUCUCUGAUGGCAAUCCUCUUCCUUCUUGGGCUCCUCUGGUACGGUGGUAUGACGGAAUUGAUGAUUUUAUUUCAAAAAAUCAAAGUUUCAC
rnacentral:lncRNA from 1 species